rnacentral:rRNA from 1 species
UACGAAGGUGGCAAGCGUUGUUCGGAUUUACUGGGCGUACAGGGAGCGUAGGCGGUUGGAUAAGUGUGGUGUGAAAUCUCCCGGCUUAACUGGGAGGGUGCGCUACAAACUGUCUGACUAGAGUGUGGGAUGGGAAAGUGGAAUUCCUGGUGUAGCGGUGAAAUGCGUAGAUAUUGGGAGGAACACCAGUGGCGAAGGCGGCUCACUGGACCGGUUCUGACGCUGAGGCGCGAAAGCGUGGGGAGCAAACGGG